rnacentral:rRNA from 1 species
UGGGGAAUUUUGGACAAUGGGCGAAAGCCUGAUCCAGCAAUGCCGCGUGUGUGAAGAAGGCCUUCGGGUUGUAAAGCACUUUUGUCCGGAAAGAAAUCCUUGGCUCUAAUACAGUCGGGGGAUGACGGUACCGGAAGAAUAAGCACCGGCUAACUACGUGCCAGCAGCCGCGGUAAUACGUAGGGUGCAAGCGUUAAUCGGAAUUACUGGGCGUAAAGCGUGCGCAGGCGGUUUGCUAAGACCGAUGUGAAAUCCCCGGGCUCAACCUGGGAACUGCAUUGGUGACUGGCAGGCUAGAGUAUGGCAGAGGGGGGUAGAAUUCCACGUGUAGCAGUGAAAUGCGUAGAGAUGUGGAGGAAUACCGAUGGCGAAGGCAGCCCCCUGGGCCAAAUACUGACGCUCAUGCACGAAAGCGUGGGGGAGCAAACAGGAUUAGAUACCCUGGUAGUCCACGCCCUAAAACGAUGUCAACUAGUUGUUGGGGAUUCAUUUCCUUAGUAACGUAGCUAACGCGUGAAGUUGACCGCCUGGGGAGUACGGUCGCAAGAUUAAAACUUAAAUGAAUUGACGGGGUCAUA